AAGAACACUUGCUUCAGUUUUUCAAGUUCUCUGCCAGGUCCGUACCUGAACCGAAAGGAGUGGGAAGUAAAGUUAUAUCCUCAGUAAGUUUAGCUCAAACACCCAGAUCUAACACUAAGGCUGUUUCUGAAGCUUUAUAUGUGUGCCGUACAAACAAAAUCACUGCUUUAAUGGCGCAUAGCAGAAAGCAUACUUGAAAGAGACAGAGACGACAAGAAGCAAGAAAAAAAACCAAAAUCAUGUGAUUUAAUUGUAUACAGGAUUUAAUUUUAUUUGCCGGUUUGUUUUGAUAUUUACACACUCCAGUGUCCUUUUAUUCCUGUAACUUAAAAAAAUACAGAUGGAAAAGUCCAUGCUUUCUUAAUCACAGCCGUUGCUCACUGAACUUGGCUCUGUAAAGAAGCGAACGUACUUUUCUACGGACUUAUAGCUUGCGCUACAAUUUAACCAGCUGUAACUCUUUUCAAACUUUGCAGGCACUUUUUAUUUCGUCGUUUUUCGCUACAACCCGCUGCCUUUUAAUAAAGAAUUUCUCUCUGCCUUGGCAAUUCUUCCUCGUAAAUUGCCGAACCAACAAGUGCCCUCUUACCCUGCCACCGCACCGGGCUCCUUUGUGUCUCAGACCUCCCUCGAAUCCUUCCCGAUUCUACUUCAUUAAUGACAAAACCAGUAAGAAACGCGGGGCAGGCAGGACUCCAGGAAACUGUCCGCAUUUUAUCAUGUCCUCGGACAAUACGGAGAGGCAGGGCUAAAUCCGCCCGGGCUCCAGGACAGCAGCGCGGAGCCCUUCGGCAUCCUGCCACCUAGUGGAGCCGGGCCGGGGCGCCAGCCCAUCCCGCACCGCGCACCGCACCACGCACCGCACCGCGCACCGCACCGCGCACCGCACCGCGCACCGCACCGCACCGCGCACCGCACCGCCCCGCACCGCGCACGGCGCACCGCACCCUGCACUGCGCACCGGAUACCGCACCCUGCACUGCGCUGCUCACCGGAUCCCGCAUCGCACCCCGCACCCUGCACUGCGCUGCGCACCGGAUCCCGCACCGCACCCUGUACUGCACCGCGCACCGCACCCCGCACCGCACGCCGGCAGCCAGGAGAAGGCGGGACCAGCUUCUCCGGGCGUUCGGUGCAGGGCGCCUGGAAGACACCUCCCGCCGCCCCCUGCUGCGGCAGUGCCAGCCUGCCAGCCCCUCCACAGAAAUGCAACUUGAUACACUGAGACAACAGCUACUUUAGCCUUUAGAUGCACCCACAUCCACUAUCGAUUGGACUUUACUCUGAAGAAAACACAGUGAGACUGAGAUAGCCAGGCAAGAGAAUGGGAAGAUGAGUAAAGGCUGGUUCCCUGUGCCAUCACUGUGGUAGUUCUGGCUCCCACUCUCCUGCAGGGGUAACUCAACCAGUGAGAACCAACAGGCUGGGCCGUGGGUAGGCUGAAGUCACACACCUGGGAAACAGACUGGCUGCUUGGAUGCUUCCAUGCUCAUGGCAACUUAAAGUGACUUCUACACUGGGGACUGUUCCUUGACCUCUCUCCUGCCUUUGGGUACAUGUUCCCAUUGUGCUCCAAAGCCACCAGAGUGCAUGUAAAGCUGUUUAAGGCUUCUAAGCUAGCUGAGAACACCACUAGAGUGGUGCAUUUUCACUGGGAUCUGAACUUAGGAGGAAGAAAACUCUGUGCUUUGCCAUGUUAAGUAAUGGUACAAACCCAUGGCAAAGGGCAAGGCAGAAAAGGCAGGGCAUGAAUUUGCUUUAGAUGCCAUGAAGUCACCAAAGGAGUUUAGCAUUCCCUUUCCUAGGUACAGCAAUACUUUGUGGGUCUGGGGCUUGUUUGUUUGUUUUUUAAUCCAGCUGCUGGUUUUCAAGAACAGGAGGUGAUGAUGGUGGUAAUGGAGAAGAUUGUUUAGUUGAGUGGUGGUGAUUGUUCAGAUUGGGCUUUAUGAUUAUGAUCUUUGCAACCGUAAUGAUUCUAUGAUUCUAAAAAAUUAAUUCUAUUUGGAUUUUUGAUUAAUGUCACUGGACAAAGGGGUAGAAAUUUUUAGCAGAAAGAGAAAGCGUGAUCAUAUUAAAUACAAUCUCCUCAGAAAAUGAAGCUAAAGAGCUGUCAAAACUAACACUUUAAGUCACUGUUUUUCUCUUGUUGCUUAAGAUGAAAAAGUUCUUUGUUCAGUCUCUCAAUUCUGACCUAAAAAAAAAAAAAGUGCUUCAUUGACCUAUCAAUGACAUUUCCAACUAAACCCUCUAUUUUUUCUGAACACUUCAAUUAACUGGAAACUAUUUUUUUAUUAUUAUUAAUAAUUUUGUUUUGCAAUGUCUCGUUCAACCUCAAAGAAGUCUGGUCUAUUUUCUAUAUAUAUAUGUAUUUUUAAUAAAAGCAAAG
rnacentral:lncRNA from 1 species